rnacentral:sRNA from 1 species
CAUCAAUCUUUGAGACCCAGCCUCAGAGCCCCGCCCUCGUGUUCCAACUCCAGAUCAUGGAUGUAAAAAUUCCGUUGACCGUCGCAGAAAUGUAGUUUGUGUACUAGCAUCUACCAUCGCCCACCGAUCACCACCUGUUAUACAGCCCAAAGCAUACUUACAUCUCUCUCGCGACUAUGUAUUCUAUCACCUCCUUGAUCCCUUCAAGCAUAACCCUCUUCAUCCUCUCUGUAUCCCUUCACUAUCAUAUUCAUAUCCACAAGAAAGGGCCUUUUCCCCACGCCUCCACUCUCAUAAAAGUCAAUAACUACAUCUACUCCUUCGUUUCCCUGCUAUUCUUCAUCGCCCUCGU